CAUGCAAGUCGAACGGUGAAGCAGAGCUUGCUCUGUGGAUCAGUGGCGAACGGGUGAGUAACACGUGAGCAACCUGCCCCUGACUCUGGGAUAAGCGCUGGAAACGGCGUCUAAUACUGGAUAUGUGACGUGACCGCAUGGUCUGCGUCUGGAAAGAAUUUCGGUUGGGGAUGGGCUCGCGGCCUAUCAGCUUGUUGGUGAGGUAAUGGCUCACCAAGGCGUCGACGGGUAGCCGGCCUGAGAGGGUGACCGGCCACACUGGGACUGAGACACGGCCCAGACUCCUACGGGAGGCAGCAGUGGGGAAUAUUGCACAAUGGGCGGAAGCCUGAUGCAGCAACGCCGCGUGAGGGAUGACGGCCUUCGGGUUGUAAACCUCUUUUAGCAGGGAAGAAGCGAAAGUGACGGUACCUGCAGAAAAAGCGCCGGCUAACUACGUGCCAGCAGCCGCGGUAAUACGUAGGGCGCAAGCGUUAUCCGGAAUUAUUGGGCGUAAAGAGCUCGUAGGCGGUUUGUCGCGUCUGCUGUGAAAUCCGGAGGCUCAACCUCCGGCCUGCAGUGGGUACGGGCAGACUAGAGUGCGGUAGGGGAGAUUGGAAUUCCUGGUGUAGCGGUGGAAUGCGCAGAUAUCAGGAGGAACACCGAUGGCGAAGGCAGAUCUCUGGGCCGUAACUGACGCUGAGGAGCGAAAGGGUGGGGAGCAAACAGGCUUAGAUACCCUGGUAGUCCACCCCGUAAACGUUGGGAACUAGUUGUGGGGUCCAUUCCACGGAUUCCGUGACGCAGCUAACGCAUUAAGUUCCCCGCCUGGGGAGUACGGCCGCAAGGCUAAAAC
rnacentral:rRNA from 1 species